ACAUGCAAGUCGAGCGGAAACGAUCCUAGCUUGCUAGGAGGCGUCGAGCGGCGGACGGGUGAGUAACGCGUGAGAAUCUACCCAUGAGUGGGGGACAACCCGGGGAAACUCGGGCUAAUACCGCAUACGCCCUACGGGGUAAAGCAGGGGACCUUCGGGCCUUGCGCUGAUGGAUGAGCUCGCGUCGGAUUAGCUUGUUGGUGAGGGUAGAAGGCUCACCCAAGGCCGACGAUCCCGUAGCUGGUCUGAGAGGAUGAUCAGCCCACACCGGGACUGAGACACGGUCCCGGACUCCUACGGGAGGCAGCAGUGGGGAAUCUUGGACAAUGGGGGGCAACCCUGAUCCAGCCAUGCCGCGUGUGUGAAGAAGGCCUUCGGGUUGUUAAGCACUUUCAGCAGGGAGGAAGGCUUACCCCUAAUACGGGUGAGUACUUGACGUUACCUGCAGAAGAAGCACCGGCUAAUUUCGUGCCAGCAGCCGCGGUAAUACGAAAGGUGCAAGCGUUAAUCGGAAUUACUGGGCGUAAAGCGCGCGUAGGCGGUGUGUUAAGUCGGAUGUGAAAGCCCAGGGCUCAACCUUGGAAUUGCAUCCGAUACUGGCACGCUAGAGUUCAGUAGAGGGAGGCGUUCAAGGCC
rnacentral:rRNA from 1 species